GUGAAGGGGAGCGAGUGUGGCUUCGAGGAUGAUUGAACCGCGUCUCUAGUGUGCAUGUUAUGUAAGGCUUCGGGAGGUGUAUGUUUGUGGCCCUGCGCUGCAACGGUUACUUCCUUUUAACACAUUGAUCUUAUUUGAUCGGGCCGGGAUGCCGCCGCCUCCCAGCCUGAAAUGAAAAGACUCUCUUCUGUGAAGCCCUUGGCGCUGUACAGAGAAGCAGGUUUAAUGAGCAUGCGGCAGUUUUGUCGGAGAUGAUGAAUUGAUCAGAUAGAUGAGGCUGGAGGUUGGAAAAUUCCUCCUCCUAGCCAAUGUGUAUCGAAGCGAUUCUGAUCCGG